AAAAAGGCUGUUUUUUUCAUUAUAAAGAUCACAGCCAUUAACUUUUUCAUCAGAGUUCCAU
rfam:Aedes albopictus isolate Foshan contig22556, whole genome shotgun sequence.